GACGAACGCUGGCGGCGUGCUUAACACAUGCAAGUCGAACGGUAAGGCCCUUCGGGGUACACGAGUGGCGAACGGGUGAGUAACACGUGGGUGAUCUGCCCUGCACUUCGGGAUAAGCCUGGGAAACUGGGUCUAAUACCGGAUAGGACCCUGGGAUGCAUGUCCUGGGGUGGAAAGCUUUUGCGGUGUUGGAUGGGCCCGCGGCCCCUCAGCUUGUUGGUGGGGUGAUGGCCUACCAAGGCGACGACGGGUAGCCGGCCAGGGAGGGUGACCGCCCACACUGGGAUUGCGGUACUGCAUAGGAUACCACGGGACGCAGCAGAGGUGAAUAUUGCACACUGGGCGCAAGCAUGAUGCAGCGACGCCGCGUGAGGGAUGACGGCCUUCGGGUUGUAAACCUCUUGCGGCACCGACGAAGCGCAAGUGACGGUAGGUGCAGAAGAAGUACCGGCCAACUACGUGCCAGCCGCCGCUGUAA
rnacentral:rRNA from 1 species